CAGAACUGUGUUCGCGGCAGGAUCUAGCAGAAGCAGCAAAAGCUGGGUGACGUUUAAACUUGAGUGAUGAGGAUUUCUGUGUGUUCGGCCAGGAGCUUCUGAACAAAGACCAGCUGAGCCCCUCCCAGGACUCUGCGGACCACACCAGCAGAUCUGGCACAGGAGACCAGGGACAGUCCUGAAACCAAAUGGAGGACAAGAGUCCUGGUGUUUUCUAAACAGCAACGCUGCCCUUCAACCAAAUGCAGUGCAAUACAGCUGCUGACCACGAAACCCGCAAUUAGUACAUGGCUAAAUGAAAAUCUUUCUAAAAACUGAAAUUCUACCCCCAGACAGCAAUGCAGAAGAGACUCAACUGCUAAUCUUGUUUUGGGCCACCUGCAAAUGGAACCAUUCCCCUAAGAUGAAUCAAGGUCAUAAUUCUUAGACUCUUUUGCUCUGUGCUGGCCUUAUACCACUGGCACUGAACCUGGGGGAAAUAGGACAUUAAAAGAGUCUAGCUCCUCAAAUUA